AGAGUUUGAUUCUGGCUCAGGAUGAACGCUGGCGGUGUGCCUAAUACAUGCAAGUCGAUCGGGCGUAGCAAUACGUCAGAGGCGUACGGGUGAGUAACACGUAGGUAACCUACCUUUAAGACUGGGAUACCCAGACGAAAGUUUGGCUAAUACCGGAUAACAACAUUUGAGACAUCUCUUUUGUUUGAAAGGCGCUGCAAGGCGCCACUUUUAGAUGGACCUGCGUCGCAUUAGCUAGUUGGUGAGAUAAAAGCCCACCAAGGCUGGGAUGCGUAGCCGAUCUGAGAGGAUGACCGGCCACAAUGGGACUGAGACACGGCCCAUACUCCUACGGGAGGCAGCAGUAGGGAGUUUUCGGCAAUGGGGGAAACCCUGACCGAGCAACACCGCGUGAGUGAUGAAAGGUCUUCGGAUCGUAAGGCUCUGUUACGAGGGACGAAUGAUCGCUUUAGGAAAUGAGAGCGGUUUGACGGUACCUCGCCAGAAAGCGACGGCUAACUACGUGCCAGCAGCAGC
rnacentral:rRNA from 1 species